CCAGCCGUUUUUAGGCUUUGUUCUCUCCUUGGUGCAUCUUCUCAUUGUUCAGCUUCAUGCACUAAGUGUGAAUUACCGCGAGACUACGCACGGGAUUUGCCGCAAGACUUUGCGUGUCUCCCGCGGUAGGUUCAAUAAACAUGCCGCCGCUCACUGUUUGUGAGAGCGUGUGUGGGGCUGGACAAUGUUUCGGAGCUGCUGCAGUUCAUGGAUACCUCUACCUACCUACUGGGAGAAACCGUGUCUGUGUACUGUAUAGAACCAAAUGGGAACUGGCCAGGUUCCUCUUUACCCUUGUCUUUCUUCCAUUACUUGGAUGGCGAGCUACCACUAGGCCUCAAGCCUGAAGAAUCUAGAGACUACAGCCCAAGAUUUAUCUCAUCAACUUGAGUGCGGUAGGAGGCGCUACAGCCUGCUCUCCUCCACACACAUUAGUUGCAUUAUUUGGACUUGGAUAAAUUCCUUAAUUCCUUUAUUCUGAAACCCUUUGAAAAUACUGUUUAAAUCUUUGUUUCUUGGAACAAUGAACUGGUUCAUAUGA